CGGAAUCUACUUUUUCGUGGGGGAUAACGUAGGGAAACUUACGCUAAUACCGCAUACGACCUUCGGGUGAAAGCAGGGGACCUUCGGGCCUUGCGCGAUUGAAUGAGCCGAUGUCGGAUUAGCUAGUUGGCGGGGUAAAGGCCCACCAAGGCGACGAUCCGUAGCUGGUCUGAGAGGAUGAUCAGCCACACUGGAACUGAGACACGGUCCAGACUCCUACGGGAGGCAGCAGUGGGGAAUAUUGGACAAUGGGCGCAAGCCUGAUCCAGCCAUACCGCGUGGGUGAAGAAGGCCUUCGGGUUGUAAAGCCCUUUUGUUGGGAAAGAAAAGCAGCGGGCUAAUACCUUGCUGUUCUGACGGUACCCAAAGAAUAAGCACCGGCUAACUUCGUGCCAGCAGCCGCGGUAAUACGAAGGGUGCAAGCGUUACUCGGAAUUACUGGGCGUAAAGCGUGCGUAGGUGGUCGUUUAAGUCUGUUGUGAAAGCCCUGGGCUCAACCUGGGAACUGCAGUGGAAACUGGACGACUAGAGUGUGGUAGAGGGUAGCGGAAUUCCCGGU
rnacentral:rRNA from 1 species